UAUGUAUUUUCUAUAGGAGCAUGCGAAACGGCUACCACAUCCAAGGAAGGCAGCAGGCGCGCAAAUUACCCACUCCCUGCACGGAGAAG